AGCAGCACAGUGUUCCAGGCUUGCCUUGGGGAAGGAGCUGUUGCAGCUUUGCACCAGCAAAAUAGGGUGUCUAGGUUGGAAAGAUGAAGCCGAGCCCAUGUUUUGACUUUAUAUGUCUUCGAGGGGCGGGGGAGGGAGAGAAAUGGACAGCUCUAAACAAGGAACGUUUGAAUGAAACGCAGAUAACUUUUAGAAAACUUUUGAAGGAAAAAAGUGCCUCGUGUGAUCAGAACAAAGCUGUUUUAUAACCAGAUUUAUCACGUUGCGAAGAGGGAAUUUGAGCAAACAGAAGCUGCAGCGUUCUGUCACCAGGAAAAACUGCGUUAUCCAGAAUCGCUUCAACAAGAAAAAUUUAGUAAAGAAGCAUAGUAGUGUGCUGCAGGUUCCGUGUUGCUAGAAACAGAUAAAAAGACACGAUAAGCAUGACUGUGAAGGGCAGAUCCACUGGGAAAUGAGGACAUUGGUAUAGAAAAUUUGUGAAUGUUGCAAGUUACUUGACUUAACUAAGGUGUACCCCCGACACACAUGAAUUUACAAGUUGAAGACAGAAAUGGUGACAAAGCAUGAAGAUUUUUCCAGUUGCGAGUGCUUUCUAAAGGACAGAGUUUCUCAUCUGAGCAUUAGAAGAGCCAGCUUUGCCCAUAAACAAGCCUGGCGUUUGGACAAGCAGUCGAUUUUCAGAAUAUGGGUAAGGAGCUUCAGCACUCAGAUGUGGAAUUUGAUCCAAAACGUAGCUUGCUUCAACUGGACCGGAUAUCCUCACCGCCUCUGGCUGAAACUGACUGAAUCAGUUUCACUUGUGGGGAGGGAGAAAUGAAUACUUCAGGAACAGAGUGUGGUGUGGAGGAGGAGGACUGCUUUUCAUCCUUCCCUGAUGCGGAAGCUCUGUGUCGAGACAGAGAGAGACCUGGGACUUUAUGAGCACACAGAUAUCCUUGGAUGAACGACCUUGGGAGCCAAGAGGAAAAGAUGGAGAAGUGGACAAGGGAGGAGAAGGAGGAGGAGGAGGAGGAGGAGGAGGAGGAGUUGGUAAGAGAGUCCCAGGGGACUCAGUAAAUCUCUGGUCCUAAGCUCAGGUGUUAGCCCUUCGUUCUUGGUGUCUGGGACAUGCUGUUCAUUUUUGCUUAAAAUCCUGUGAUGUAAAGGGCAUUCUUGUGACUGAGCAUCCCUUUGCUGAGGAGCUGGAGAGGACAAGGAUUUCAGGAAUGGCCUUUCAAGGCACUGUUUUGCAGGAAAUAUCGUGAAGUCAUCCGUCUCCACUGAAUCUACUUUUUGGAGAUAAGACAUCAAGGUUUAUUGCCCACCAGCUUCUGACUUCUUGCCUCGAGAGUAGCAUGUGUGCUAACUGUAAGUAGUGCCUUCUGCUCAGUUCAAGGCCUAUUCUCCUGGGACUUGAGCUGUGUUAUUCCCUUCAUCCUGGGAUUUCCCCCCCCCCCUUUGUAAAUACAGACAACUUGCUGCCUGUAUUCUGAAACCUUGGUGUUUCUCCCUUUGACUUGAAGCUCUUCUGAAACAAUUGUGUGGUGGCUGGGCACUGCAAAAUGAGUCAGUUCCUGCAGUUUGGUUACAAGUUCUCAAAAAGUACUUCAGAAUGUGGAUGUGGUCAGCAGAGUCAUUUUCCAGGCAUCUAAAAGGAAACCCACAUCAACUGUAAAAUUGAGCUAAGACCGGUGGUGCUACACAACAGAACCGGGCCUGUUUUUCUCAGAGCUAAGCCUAAAGUUGCUUUCCAGUUUAGCAUUCCCUAACACAUCUCGGUAGGGAAUCCAUAUUCACACUUGCGUAUCACAUUUUAUCUGCCACCAUUUGCACAAACAGUGUAGUAGAGGUUUUGGCCUUCCUUACUUUUGAAUGUGGGCUCAGUUUCGAAUAACAGAAAUUGUUUUUGUAAAAUGGAAUCUGUGGGGCUAGAGUAUAGUUAGUACAAAGUGUUAAAUGUGGCUUAGGGACAAAAGGUGGUAGUUUUGCAGAGGAAUAACCAAGUAGAUGGGCAUGGUAUUACCUAGUUUCUAAUUGAGGUCUGAACCUUGCAGCAUUGUUCAUAGAAAUAAUUCAGUGCUUUUCGAAUUUUGAACGAGCUUCAAGCUCAUCAUAUGAGAACAUUUUAGCCCAACAUGGAUUUUAAAAAAUAGUCAACAUUUUUAUUCACUUGGGUACCAUAAAUUCUAUAAAAUCUGAUCGAGUUUCCUGUUACCGGCCUUUAACCAAUCACCAGAACUGAUAACAUUUUCACUAAGAAGAGAACAACAAAAUUAAAACAUGGAUCUGAACAGAUCCUUCACUACAGAGGAUACCCACAUGACAGACAAGCACAUGAAGGGUGUUCAGCAUCAUUAGUCAUUAGAAUAGUGCAAAUGAAAACAGUGGUAAACUACACACCUCUUUGAAUGGCUGAAAUUACAAAGGCUGACUAUAUCAAAUGGACUUUGAAGAUAUGGAGGAUUUGGAGCCCACAGGCAUUUAGUUAGAAAAAUGGUACAAAUGUUUUGGAAGGCAAUUUGGCAGUUUCUGAAAAUACCAAACAUACACUUAGCAUGUGAUCCAGUUGUCCCAUUUAUAGAGACAAGAAAACAUGUGUUCAUGAAUGUUCACUCAGUUUCAUUAGUUGUAGCCAAGAGCUGGAAAAAUCCAAAUGUUCAACAGCAGGUAAAUGGAUAAACAAAUUACAGUGUAUCUCAGUGGAUGCUGUUCAGUAAUGGAAAAAGAGUGAACAGUGGCUACCUUAAGUAACACGAGUGACCCUUACUCAUGAGAAUAUAUACUGUGUGAUUCCAUUUACAUAAAAUUCUAGAAAGUGAAAAGAAAGUCAUAAUGACAGGAAGGAGGAGUUGGUUACAUGAAGUAAGGAACUUAGGGUGGCAAGAGGAAGGGCUACAGAAAAGCAGAAGGAAACUGGGUCUGCUGGAUAAUUUCACUCUCUUAAUUAUGGUGAUGCUUUAAUGGGCGCAUCUAUAUGUCCAAACUUAGGAGAUCAUGUAAUUUAAAUGUGUGCCAUUUAUUUUGUAUUGGCUAUC